GUACUCACUUCGGCAGCAUGUAUACUAAAAUUGGAAAGAUAUAGUGAAUAUUAGCAAGACCCCACAAAGGAUGACAUGCGAAUUCAUGAAGGAAUACCGUACUUG
ensembl:snRNA U6 U6 spliceosomal RNA